ensembl:Mt_tRNA
AAGACGCUAGUAAAAUGCCAUUACGAUGCCUUGUCAAGGCAAAAUUGCGAGUUAAACUCUCGCGCGUCUUG